GACGUAGGGCGCGAGCGUUGUCCGGAUUUAUUGGGCGUAAAGAGCUCGUAGGCGGCUUGUCGCGUCGUCCGUGAAACCUGCAGCUCAACUGCAGGCUUGCGGUCGAUACGGGCAGACUAGAGUGUGGUAGGGGAGACUGGAAUUCCUGGUGUAGCGGUGAAAUGCGCAGAUAUCAGGAGGAACACCGAUGGCGAAGGCAGGUCUCUGGGCCACUACUGACGCUGAGAAGCGAAAGCAUGGGGAGCGAACAGG
rnacentral:rRNA from 1 species